rnacentral:rRNA from 1 species
UGGCCCUACGGGAGGCAGCAGUGAGGAAUAUUGGUCAAUGGGAGAGAUCCUGAACCAGCCAAGCCGCGUGAGGGAAGACGGCCCUAUGGGUUGUAAACCUCUUUUGUCGGAGAACAAAACCCGGGACGUGUCCCGGACUGCGUGUAUCCGAAGAAAAAGCAUCGGCUAACUCCGUGCCAGCAGCCGCGGUAAUACGGAGGAUGCGAGCGUUAUCCGGAUUUACUGGGUGUAAAGGGAGCGUAGACGGCAGCGCAAGUCUGGAGUGAAAUGCCGGGGCUCAACCCCGGAACUGCUUUGGCAACUGG